GGACCUAUAGGGAGUGAACCAAGGUGAGAGGAGGCGCUCCGCCCGGCCGCACCCCCGCAGGGGCUACCGCUCAGCCUCGGACAGGUCUCGGUCAUCUCCUCAGAUGCAUGUCACGGGGAAAAGAGGUGCCAAGGGGCAGGCAGCACCCCAUCAGCCAUCACCUGGGAGCCGGCGGGGAGGCCCUGGGACAGUCGGCGGGGCUCGCAAACACAACCUGAGGGGAAGGUUAAGUAGCGAAGAAAGCGCCCCCGACUUUGUGAGAACGGCUCAGCCGUAUACAGACCACACACAGGGCCUUCUUCCGUCUGUCUCCGUGUCACCCAGUGCUCACAGAGGGGAGACUCAGGUAAGCCCCCCACACCCUGGAUUUCCAGAACCCCCCAAUUUAUCAGCUGGGUUCCAGGCUUCUUCCCCACAGCUCAACAGCCUUAUUUUUCACGUGAAACCACAGAAGGCUUCUCCUGCCACUGAUGAUCGGUAUCUUCGCUGUCUCCCUCUCAGCCUCCUACAGGCAGCCUUCCCCUGGACACCCAGGCACUGCUUACACUCCUGGCAGGACGGCCGUGAGGCCCAGUGCCCACAGCUGGCCCUCUGGAUACCCUUAACAAAAGGCUGGCUUUCCUUUCUCACAGCUGUCACUCAGCACAAGAUGACAUUCAGCAAAGGCAGACCCAGCUGUCAUCUAAGUCCACGAACACAAGAACGUGGCCUUCAGACGCGACAGCUUCAAUGAUCUCCUUGUGCUGCUCCCACCCGCUCUACGCUGUCCUAGGGUGGCACCGGGGGCGGAGGCGCACACGGCAGCCUGCACUUGUUGAAAAGGCUGAAGAGGCAAAAACGGGGUUUAACUCACUGAAAGAACAUCGUUUCCCAGCGAGAGGGACGAGAGCAGGACAGGUCAACGCUGUGACGAAGAGCAUCAGGACUGAGGGCCAGCGGGCUGGUGACAGCAGGACCUGCUGGGCCCCGUGAGCAAGCCACCGCCACGCGGACUCCCCACGUGCUCACCACCAGCCGGGAACGCAACAAGGCCAAACCGCGCAGGGGAGUGGGAGCAGGGGCCCGGCAGCAGCUCAGCACUGGAGACAAGGCUCAGCUCCAAGCCAGGGUGCCCUGCACCCCACACCAAAGCACCCCUGCUCUACGGGGAGCCAGAGCACAGGGUCCCAGAACAGUUCAGUAUGAAGGUUAUCUGCUGGCCCUGUGAUGUUCACUAAUUAAAAAGUCACACAGAAAGUAAAAACAGAGAAAUAAAAACCCCAGGAUCUCGCUCUCUGGGGUCAGCCACCAUUUAGCACCUCUGAA